CCUAUUUGGUCCCUUUUUAUUUUCUUUUAAUCUACAAUUCAACUUUCAUCCUUUAUUCAAUUUAGUCAUUUUUCCUAAUUACUCUUAAUUAAGCUAAAUUCACUUAAUUAAAACUCUAAUUAACCACUCGAUUAACUUCAUAAAUAUUUUUAAUAAAUAUUUUCUAAUCCAUUUUUCAGAAAUAGUGAUCCGAAAAUACACCUUUCUAAUAACCUUAAAGUUCGGGUCGUUAC
rnacentral:lncRNA from 1 species